rnacentral:lncRNA from 1 species
GGUUCCCAGGCUAGGGGUCAAAUUGGAGCUGUAGCUGCCAGCCUACGCCAGAGCCACAGCAACGCAGGAUCUGAGCUGUGUCUGCAACCUACACCACAGCUCACGGCAACGCCGGAUCCUUAACCCACUGAGCAAGGGCAGGGAUCAAACCCGAAACCUCAUGGUUCCUAGUCGGAUUCGUUAACCACUGUGCCAUGACGGGAACUCCUGUCUGUGGUCAGAAAAACAACCAAUGAUAUAUUUGACAGACUCCUUUUGAUUGUACUCUCAACAGAAAAUUAGAGUGAUGAUGGAUUGUCAUUUGCUCUUUUUUUGACAAAGAUCUACCCUCUUCUCCAGAGUUAAGGUGGGUAAGUGAGACUCCUAGGUGAUAAGGAAAAGCAGCAAUCUAGAAAACCAGCCUUUGGGAACCUGAGAGGGGGGCAGAUUUCUAAGCCAGGGAAAAAACCCAUGCUCAAGGUCAAUGUAUUCAAUUCAUUCGUGUAAAAUUAUUUUACUAAGGUCCUACAGUAUUGUGAGUGCAGUUCUAGAUGCAGAUCAUACAAAUAACAGAUUGUAGAGUUGCCACACUAAAGUUAGUCAAAUUAGAUAAACUCUGAUCCCAGGAAGGAAAUUUGGGGAAAUGCACAAACUAGAUCUGAGUAACUUCAGCAUUUGAUAAAGCUGUAAUUAGUAAGUGUUGCCACUUAGUUAAGUACAUAAACUGUAUUCAGAAAUUGUAAUUAAUUUUUAAGGUUUCUCCACAUUAUUAUCUCUUUCAUAUAUUCAUGUAUUGUACUAAAGAUGCCAUCAAAAUAACAUACAUCAUUAAGAUGUUUUAGACCAUGAAGCAUAAUGUAACCCGAAAAUGUGUGCCCUAUUUAUUUACUUUUUAUCUUUUUUAUAUAAAAUUAAAAAAAAUACUGCAUUCAGGUCAUUUUACAAAGGUCACUAGGUUUUCACUAUAUUUGAGAGCAUAUAGGAACAUCAACAGGAAAUUGAAGAGAAUUUCAAUUCUCUUAGAAUUAGAGAAUUGAAUUCAAUGUCAGAACUCUAAUGAGCAGACCUACACACACAAAAUACUAUGAUCCUAAGUCAAGAGAUAAGGUUACAAAUGUACACUUAUUUGUAUACAUUGAAGUACUGAAAUACUUAUGGGAUACAUAUUUUUUAUGACUUCCAUGUUUGAACUAACUUUUCCAAUGACUAACCAUUUAUAUUUCCUAUUACAUAAUAGGUUCCUUCAGUAAUUGGUAUCUCCCAAAAUAUUUAACAAAAAGCCAGGAAUAAUAUUUUAUCAGACAUGAUAAUAUUGAAUAAACUAUAAACUGUAUUUAGGCUCUUAUAACAUGGAGGUGCCAAUUUACCUAAGCAAAAAUAUCAAUCCAUAUCAUAUUUGGUAGAAUUAGUCCUGCAUAAUAUGAGUUUUUAAUUCUAAAUGGUUUUUAAAAACAUAAAAUUGUUUUAUAUAUGAAAAAGAUACAUAACACACAAAAGUUCAGUUUUCUAGAUGUAUAUUAUUAAAUGCAGACAUGUCAAUAUGGAAGGGCUAAUAGUGAUUUUCAGUGUGUGAACAAAUGCAAUCAUAUAAGGCUACCAAAACAAAUAUUUGUACCAACAUCCAUUCAAACUAAAAUGUAUAUUUUGUUUCUGCAAAUGUAUUUCUUCUGAGACACUGAAUUUAUUUAUUCAUCUGUCUAUUUAAAAUUUUUUUCUAGCCCCAGGACAAGUAUUCAGUAAAUAUUAAUCACCUUAAGAACAAAUAAUUUGGUAGUUUUUAACUGUCUAUUUCAUUGACUUGCAGAUUUGGGAUCUAUGACUUUUGGUAUAUUCAGAAACAAAAUAACAAAGAGAAUAUCCAUUGACCUUAAAAACAGGUAUAGAGGUCACAAAAUGACUUGAUUAUCUGUCACAAGAUUGUUAUAUGUGAAUACAGAUGUUUCACUCACAAAUAAUAAAAUAAAUUUAGUUUUGAGAUAUAAGUUCCAGUGAAGCCCCAGUCUUAGUUUUCCCAUCUUAAACAGAAUAAAAUGGUGUGUACUGGCCUCAUCUCAGAAUUUAGCAUCAUGCUCUUUCGUCAUAUCGGAUUACUUUCUAAAGGAUAAUGUUUUAUUUCUUUUAAAAAUUAUUUUGUUAUUUUCCAUUACAUUUUCCGUAGUAGUUGUGUAGCAACUUAAUAUUUAUUUAACAAAGUCUACUCAAAUAAACAUAUUGCAAAGGAGAACAGUAUUCUGGCUAGUUGAUGAAAGAGGAACUAGUAGAUUCAUGCUGUAUAAGGUAAUGGGAGCUUAGUUUAAGGAAAGAAAACAAAGAAGUAAAUAGUUUUGCAAAAAAUUUAGUGUCUUUUGAGUUCCAUCAUAAGUGUUUCUCAGCUUCAAAUAUAUGUUUUUAUUACCUUCUCCUUUGUAUGAAAACUCAGCUUCCUUAACAACAAACAAACAAAACAAAACAAACAACAACAACAAAAAAACCUUUAGCAUUUCCCAUCACCACGGUCAUAAUUAUAUCAGUAUCCAGAGGAGCAAAAGGGUAAAAAGUCAGACAAAGCUAGACCAUAGUGAUUAAGCCAGUUUCUCCUCUAUAUGCUUAUAAUUAUCUCACACUGCCUCACAUGGAAGUAGUUACAUGAUAAAGAAUAUGAACUUUGAGUGUAACAUCCAGAAAAGUGUUCCAUUGUCUUGGACACAAAAUUUGAACAGUAACGUUUUGAGUUUCACUCACAUUUUUUGUUUUUGCUUCAUCUUAUCACCACAAACAUGAUGAUUCCAUCAUCUCAUUUGAAUAUGUACUAGAAAAACACUAUACGUGCUUGUUAAAACACAUUUUUCCAGCCCUACCUCCCUUAAGAUUCUGAUUCAGUAAGUCUGUGGUAAAGCCUAAGAGUGAGUAUUUUUAAAGCUGUCCAGUAAAUUUUCAUGCAAACAAUCUGUAGACCACUUUUUUGAAAUUCUGGAUUAAGAUCUAUCUUGAACUUUUAAGUUAUGUUAAAGAUGAAAAUAGAAUCAUACUAGCAUCCACGGCUUUAACAACCUCCUCGUAUACAGUUGUCAACAUUAGUACUUUCACAAUUUGAUUUAUAGUCCAGUGGAAGGAGAUGAGUAUAGACUCAAAUGAACAUAAUACAAGGCAAUAAAAAAGUACUCAGUGAAUUGCAUGGAUGAACAAAAGUAAGUUAAGAAGAGCUUAGAUGAAGAAAAAAAUAUUUUCAGUUAUAAAUUUAGUUCAAGAGAUUUCAUUUGAAAUGAGAUCUGAAGGGCAAACAUUUAUGUAGGGCAGAAGAGCAUUUCAGUAAUGGAGUAGGUUCUGAAAAUAACACCUGGAAGAAGUCUUCACCUGUGGUGCAGCAGGUGAUCCAGUGAGGCAGGAGCACAGGAUGCAUGUCAGAGAAUAGUGGGAAGGGAGUUCGGGAAGGUCUGCUGGGCUAUGAAUUAGAUUUCUAGUCUAUUCUCAUUCUUCCUUGAUUUGGCUCUGACUUCUCUGCAGAAAUUCUUCAUUUGGAUGGCUCCUCCUCUAGACCAGUUGCACAUACUCCUCCAGGGAGUAUGGGAGCUGCUAGUAUUCCCCUUUCCACCAGAAAGUCAACGUAUCAACCCUAGGCUAUUUAAGACAAUCUCUUUGGUUACAUGUAUAGUACAAAAUAACAAGUUGAUGCUGGCUUCUUACUACUCUGCCUCUCUUGUUACACUGACCAUUAUGGUCUAAAAUCAGUUAGACCCCUAGCACCUAAAAGGCAGGCUGUCUGCUGUUGGCUCCCUGGGAUCUUACUUCCUGGAGCCUCCAGUGAGGAGAUUUUCCUGAAGUAAAAGCAGCAUAUCCUAACUGAGCUGUUCUCACUUAAAUGGGCCCUGCCUGCUUCACUUUCACAGGUCUCAUCUGCAACCUCAACUGAACUGCACGUAUGGAGAUUGAGAGCUUUCUGCCCAUCAUCCACCCUCACAGCUGCCUCUGGAGAGCCUUUGGCAGUAUCUGAAGUCGUGGGUAGCUCUUAGAGGAUCCUACUUUGCCAAGAAUGUCUGAACCAGUCCUUAAACAAGCCUUUGGGGAAAUUCCCAACUGCCUUCUAACUGCUUCUCUUUCCCCCCGAGGGAGAAUGCAUCUCCUUCUAACAGACUUAUUUAGGAGCUAGUUCCCAGAAGCUAUCCUUCUGGUGGCUCAAAAUCUAAAGCUUCCUUAAGAAGGAAAUGAUAUAUAACCAAAUCCACAGAUUUCCAGUGCUGUAUUAAAAACAAUCAUUAACGUCGUUUCCCCACAGUACUUAAUGAAGAUGACAGCUGGUGGUAAUGAUAAAUUUUUGACUACACACUCUUGCCAGAGGCCCUCUGAGAAGGAUGCUGCUGCUGGCUGAGGCAUUUAGAAUUUGUGCUAAACUCUCCUCAGUAGGAAUGUCCUUGUUGAUGCUGCUGAGGAGAUGAAGGACUGAAAGUGAGGUAUUAAAGACAAUCUCUUUGGUUACAUGUAUAGUUAUCAAUAAAACAGUUUUUGCCUAUUUGAAAUUCAGCCUCAUGUUUCACUCUGAACCCUUAGGUGAUGGUCAUUUCAGAACUUUAAAGAGGACUUGACCAACUAAGUUUCAGCUCCUGCAAUUCCACCCUCUUAUAGUUUGUUUCUAAUGGAAACAAAAAAAUAGUGGGUUCAGGGGCUCCGAGACCCCAGUGCACCUCAUUCUGCCAGUACUAAGUAAUCUCAGCUACUGCUUAUGGAACAUUUAUGUGGCAAAAACUAUAAAUUUUCUUUGUUAAUAACCAUCACAGUUCUUUAUGUUAGUGUCAUUAUCAAAAUUUUACAAAUAAGGAAAUCAAAACCCAGAAUUAAAACAUUGUUCAAGGACACAUAUCUUAUGAGCAACAGAGUCAGAACUUGAAACCAAGACCUACUGAUUCCAUAGCCAGGACUUUUUAACCUCUGUAGUAUCGUGCUUCUCUCCAAUCUGCUGGGCCCAUCUCUGUUCCCUUCCACUGUACACUGACUCAGAUUAUUUCUGUUACCUGAAGAGUUAGCUCCCCUAUUUGAAUUCCCUUCCCUCCCCGUAUCCACCUAUCAAGAGUCUACAUAUUUCAUCAAUGCUGACCUUAAAUAUCAUCUUCUCUAUUAAGACCAUCCUAAUUUUCUCUUCCUCUUUUCUGUACUCUUAUAACCAAAUGUGGGCUCCCUUUUUUGGAGUAUUUUCAGCAGCUCCCCUAUAACUGGCUAAAUGUAAACUCUCAAAUUGUGACUCACAUACAGCUCUGAAAGACUUAAUCAAAUAUUUCCCAUAAGAUGGAUGUUCAAUAAAUAUCUAUGAAAUGUAAUUUGCUGAAAGCAUUUACAGGAUUAGUCUGGAUCAGGGCUCAGACUGAGGAGUUGUCCUACUAGGUAUUCACAUAGGGAGGCCUGGGAUCAUGGGUCUCUGUCUCCCAUGUGAAAGACUGAGGGUUGUGAUACAAGUUUCUAGGCUCUACUAGCUUCAGAUAUAUAAAGAUGUAAGAGGUGAGGGUUAGGAGAAAGUACUUAACAAAGGUCACACAACUUUGAAGCUUCACAGCCACUAAUUUGUGACUCAUACCAACUUCCUACUAGUGCAAUCUUCUUUUUGAUAUAUCGUUCUAGAACAAACAGAACCACCAGUGAUAUUUAAAAUACCCUGCCAUCUAUAGUUCUGGUCCUAGAGUCCAACAACUUUUUCCUUACAAUGUGAUUGAAAACUUCAGAGGUCAGAUCUCAGCUUUGAGAAGUAAACUUAUUUAACAGCUUUUUAAAAAGUUUCAAUUAACAGAACAUUUACUAUAUAGAAACUCUUUGCUCAAGUGAUACCUCUCAAUUAUUCACAGAUGGAUCAUCAAGUACAAAUUUUGCUUUUUGAGUUCUUAUUGACAUGAUCACCUACUCAAUUCAGCUAAAUCCUUUGUUAAGGCAACUUUAGUAUACUCUUCUUCUGAAGUUUUCAAAUACAAAAAGAGUGUGAAGAAAAGUCAAACUCUUAAAUAGAAUAUCUUCUGCAAACUCUCCUUACAUAUUUAAUACAUUUUGAUUGAACAAAGCCUCACAGUCAAUAUGAAAAUUAAUGCCAUGAAACAUCCUAUGUCUAUGUAUGACAAAGUAAUUGGCAUCAUAUUAGUUCUUCUACAAUUGAGAAAAACUAUCAAAGUUGGGUUUGAAAACACCUGUCAAAACUCUUCAAAUUCGUCAGAAAGCAACCAAGACAGCUGGAAACGGGAGGGAUGGAAAGAUCCUAUAAGAGAGGGAAGCCAUUGAGGUAAAUCCCAUACUUGUGGUUGUUGGUUUUUUUUUUUUUUUUU